rnacentral:rRNA from 1 species
UACGUAGGGGGCAAGCGUUGUCCGGAAUCAUUGGGCGUAAAGAGCGUGUAGGCGGCCAGAUAAGUCCGCUGUGAAAUCUCGAGGCUCAACUUCGAGCUGUCGGUGGAAACUGUCUGUCUAGAGUCCGGAAGAGGAGAAUGGAAUUCCUGGUGUAGCGGUGAAAUGCGCAGAUAUCAGGAAGAACACCCGUGGCGAAGGCGGUUCUCUGGGCCUUACCUGACGCUGAGGAGCGAAAGCGUGGGGAGCGAACAGG